rnacentral:rRNA from 1 species
UACGUAGGGGGCUAGCGUUGUCCGGAUUUAUUGGGCGUAAAGAGCGUGUAGGCGGCCAGGUAGGUCUGCUGUGAAAACUCGAGGCUCAACCUCGAGACGUCGGCGGAAACCAUCUGGCUAGAGUCCGGAAGAGGAGAGUGGAAUUCCUGGUGUAGCGGUGAAAUGCGUAGAUAUCAGGAGGAAUACCGGUGGCGAAGGCGGCAUCCUGGACCGGCAUUGACGCUGAUGAGCGAAAGCGUGGGGAGCAAACAGG